GCACCUCAAGUGGUCAGGAGGAUUAUUGGGCCUAAAGCAUCCGUAGCCGGCUUUGUUAGUUUUCGGUUAAAUCUAUAUGCUCAACAUAUGGGCUGCCGGGAAUACUGCAAAGCUAGGGAGUGGGAGAGGUAGACGGUACUCCGUAGGAAGGGGUAAAAUCCUUUGAUCUAUGGAUGACCACCUGUGGCGAAGGCGGUCUACCAGAACACGUCCGACGGUGAGGGAUGAAAGCUGGGGGAGCAAACCGGAUUAGAUACCCGGGUAGUCCCAGCUGUAAACAAUGCAAACUCAGUGAUGCAUUGGCUUGUGGCCAGUGCAGUGCCGCAGGGAAGCCGUUAAGUUUGCCGCCUGGGAAGUACGUACGCAAGUAUGAAACUUAAAGGAAUUGGCGGGGGAGCACCACAAGGGGUGAAGCCUGCGGUUCAAUUGGAGUCAACGCCAGAAAUCUUACCCGGAGAGACAGCAGAAUGAAGGUCAAGCUGAAGACUUUACCAGACAAGCUGAGAAGUGGUGCAUGGCCGUCGCCAGCUCGUGCCGUGAGAUGUCCUGUUAAGUCAGGUAACGAGCGAGAUCCUUGCCUCUAGUUGCCACCAUUACUCUCAGAGUAGUGGGGCGAAUUAGCGGGACUGCCGUAGUUAAUACGGAGAAGAGAGGGCCACGCCAGGUCAGUAUGCCUGGAACUCUGGACCACCACSGCGGCCUKGCCAG
rnacentral:rRNA from 1 species